rnacentral:rRNA from 1 species
UAUUAUUCAAACUGUUAAACUCGAGAGUGGUAGAGGUAACUGGAAUUUCUAGUGUAGGAGUGAAAUCCGUAGAUAUUAGAAGGAACACCAAUGGCGUAGGCAGGUUACUGGACCAUUUCUGACGCUAAGGCACGAAAGCGUGGGGAGCGAACUGGAUUAGAUACCCAGGUAGUCCACGCCGUAAACGAUGGAUACUAGCUGUUGGAGGUAUCGACCCCUUCAGUAGCGAAGCUAACGCGUUAAGUAUCCCGCCUGUGGAGUACGGCCGCAAGGCUAAAACAUAAAGGAAUUGACAGGGACCCGCACAAGCGGUGGAUCAUGUUCUUUAAUUCGAUGAUAAACGAAGAACCUUACCAGGGUUUGACAUCCCGAGAAGAUUUACGAAAGUAAAUUGUGCCUUUUGGAACUCGGUGACAGAUGAUGCAUGGCCGUCGUCAGCUCGUGUCGUGAGAUGUUUGG